AUUGAACGCUGGCGGAAUGCUUUACACAUGCAAGUCGAACGGCAGCACGGGGCAACCUGGUGGCGAGUGGCGAACGGGUGAGUAAUACAUCGGAACGUGCCCAAUCGUGGGGGAUAACGUAGCGAAAGUUACGCUAAUACCGCAUACGAUCUACGGAUGAAAGCGGGGGAUCGCAGGACCUCGCGCGAAUGGAGCGGCCGAUGUCAGGUUAGGUAGUUGGUGGGGUAAAGGCUCACCAAGCCAACGAUCUGUAGCUGGUCUGAGAGGACGACCAGCCACACUGGGACUGAGACACGGCCCAGACUCCUACGGGAGGCAGCAGUGGGGAAUUUUGGACAAUGGGCGCAAGCCUGAUCCAGCCAUUCCGCGUGCAGGAUGAAGGCCUUCGGGUUGUAAACUGCUUUUGUACGGAACGAAACGGCUCUCUCUAAUACAGGGGGCUAAUGACGGUACCGUAAGAAUAAGCACCGGCUAACUACGUGCCAGCAGCCGCAGUAACAC
rnacentral:rRNA from 1 species